CGAACGCUGGCGGCAUGGAUUAGGCAUGCAAGUCGAACGAUGAAGCAGAAGCUUGCUUCUGUGAAUUAGUGGCGAAAGGGUGAGUAACGCGUGAGUAAUCUGCCCCUAAGUUGGGAAUAGCCUCGGGAAACCGGGAUUAAUACCGAAUGUGAACUUCUGUCGCAUGUCAGAAAGUUUAAAGAUUUAUCGCUUAGGGAUGAGCUCGCGUCCCAUUAGCUUGUUGGUAAGGUAACGGCUUACCAAGGCAACGAUGGGUAGCUGGUCUGAGAGGAUGAUCAGCCACACUGGGACUGAGACACUGCCCAGACUCCUACGGGAGGCUGCAGUCGAGAAUCUUCCGCAAUGGGCGAAAGCCUGACGGAGCAAUGCCGCGUGCAGGAUGAAGGCCUUUGGGUUGUAAACUGCUGUCACCAGGGAAGAACAAAAUGACGGUACCUGGAGAGGAAGCACCGGCUAACUAC
rnacentral:rRNA from 1 species